CAGUAGCGUAUAUUAAAGUUGUUGCAGUUAAAAUGCUCGUAGUUGAAGUUCGGAUGCAGCAGAGCUUGGAAACGCUGUUAUGGUGCUUCCGUUGCUUUUGCUUGUCCACAGUGCGUUGCAAGUACGUAUGUGCUUGUGCGUGCAUUUUACUUUGAGAAACAUAGGGUGUUCCACGCAUGUUACGGCAUGAAUAUUCCAGCAUGGGAUAAUCUGGUACGACUUCCAAUCUGCCAUUUUGGUUCGUAGGUUGGAAGUAAUGAUUAAUAGGGACUGUCGGGGGCAUUGGUAUUUGACUGUCAGAGGUGAAAUUCUUAGAUUCGUUGAGGACCAACCACUGCGAAGGCAUUUGUCAAGGAUGUCUCCAUUAA
rnacentral:rRNA from 1 species